GAUGAACGCUGGCGGCGUGCCUAAUACAUGCAAGUCGAGCGAACAGACGAGGAGCUUGCUCCUCUGACGUUAGCGGCGGACGGGUGGGUAACACGUGGAUAACCUACCUAUAAGACUGGGAUAACUUCGGGAAACCGGAGCUAAUACCGGAUAAUAUAUUGAACCGCAUGGUUCAAUAGUGAAAGACGGUUUUGCUGUCACUUAUAGAUGGAUCCGCGCCGCAUUAGCUAGUUGGUAAGGUAACGGCUUACCAAGGCAACGAUGCGUAGCCGACCUGAGAGGGUGAUCGGCCACACUGGAACUGAGACACGGUCCAGACUCCUACGGGAGGCAGCAGUAGGGAAUCUUCCGCAAUGGGAGAAAGCAUGACGGAGCAACGCCGCGUGAGUGAUGAAGGUCUUCGGAUCGUAAAACUCUGUUAUUAGGGAAGAACAAAUGUGUAAGUAACUAUGCACGUCUUGACGGUACCUAAUCAGAAAGCCACGGCUAACUACGUG
rnacentral:rRNA from 1 species